GACGAACGCUGGCGGCGUGCUUAACACAUGCAAGUCGAGCGGUAAGGCCCCUUCGGGGGUACACGAGCGGCGAACGGGUGAGUAACACGUGGGCAAUCUGCCCAUCACAUCGGGAUAACUCCGGGAAACCGAAGCUAAUACCGAAUACGACCACCUCCGGCAUCGGAUGGUGGUGGAAAGUUCCGGCGGUGAUGGAUGAGCUCGCGGCCUAUCAGCUUGUUGGUGGGGUAACGGCCCACCAAGGCUUCGACGGGUAGCCGGCCUGAGAGGGUGACCGGCCACACUGGGACUGAGACACGGCCCAGACUCCUACGGGAGGCAGCAGUGGGGAAUAUUGGACAAUGGGCGAAAGCCUGAUCCAGCAACGCCGCGUGAGGGAUGACGGCCUUCGGGUUGUAAACCUCUUUCAGCAGGGACGAAGCGCAAAUGACGGUACCUGCAGAAGAAGCACCGGCCAACUACGUG
rnacentral:rRNA from 1 species